rnacentral:rRNA from 1 species
GACAGAGGGUGCAAACGUUGUUCGGAUUUACUGGGCGUAAAGCGCGUGUAGGCGGCUUUGCAAGUCGGAUGUGAAAGCCCACGGCUCAACCGUGGAAGUGCAUCCGAAACUGCAUGGCUGGAGUCUCGGAGAGGAAGGUGGAAUGCUUGGUGUAGAGGUGAAAUUCGUAGAUAUCAAGCAGAACACCUGCGGCGAAGGCGGCCUUCUGGACGAUGACUGACGCUGAGACGCGAAAGCGUGGGGGAGCAAAACAGG